rnacentral:rRNA from 1 species
UACGUAGGGGGCUAGCGUUGUCCGGAAUCAUUGGGCGUAAAGCGCGUGUAGGCGGUCCGGUAAGUCCGCUGUGAAAGUCGGGGGCUCAACCCUCGAAUGCCGGUGGAUACUGUCGGGCUAGAGUGCGGAAGAGGCGAGUGGAAUUCAUGGUGUAGCAGUGAAAUGCGUAGAGAUCAUGAGGAAGACCAGUGGCGAAGGCGGGUCUCUGGACAGUUCCUGACACUGAGACACGAAGGCCAGGGGAGCAAACGGG